GAAACAAUCAUGGUAGUGUCACAUGCCUUUACCAAGAAGCAAGGAUGAUCCUGACCAUCUCCAGAAGGUGUUAUGUCCCAACCCCAAACUAACAAUUCCUGGACGUGCCGGGCUCUCCAGUUCCCCUAUUAAGGUAAUUCUCUCCCCAUUUUAUAUAGUGCUACAGUACAUUGUGUAUGCGAGGUGUAGAGAGGGACUUGGACCCAGAGGCGAGAGUGCUGCUGAUUGGGUUUUUAUGACAGAGGCACUGAGAGCUCCAUUUCCAGCCCAGCUCUCUUUUGUAAAUCACAGGCACUAAGAGUCUUUCACAAAGGAAAUCUGUUUUUUCUAUGACACUUAGGGUUACAUUCACAGCAUAAAUCUUCCAUUGACCAAGCUACUCUUUGCUAUUAAAAAGAGUUUAAAAGGCUUCAGGCUGUACCAUUUCAUAUGUUUUAGCACAGCAUGAUCAUAAAGGAAGUGACUUGAAGCAGGUGUGAUUUCAGAAUAUGCCAGUUGACCUUAGAAGUAACCAUGAAUUUUAGCACAGUGAUAACCACAGGCAAUUAUGUACAUCUAUCCAUGUUCGUGUCAAGAGAAAGAUGGGAACUAGAUUCUCCAAAUGUCAAGACCAUGAAAGUAUUCAAAUAAGCCCCUCAAGAGCAAUAGCAAAAUCUCCCACUCCUCUCUUCAUCAAAAGAGGUGAACUCCAACUGGCAAAGCAGAUAGAAAAAGGAAAUACAAUGACAGCACCAAUGAAGCAGUUAUGUGGCUUCAGUUGCAGCAGUACUAGGAUAUCCUGCAUACAAACCUGCUCUGCCACAUUAAGAAUUCACAUCUAGAUUGAAGUCAAAAAGAAAAAUUUGUGCAAUUCUUACAGUGAGUUUUGGAACUAUUCACACUUAUGUAGCAUAUACAAGAUCUUAGCUCUCGUUGGGAGUCUAGUCAGGGCAAAGGGCAAGCUAUGGUCCAGCAUUAAGUUGGACCAAGAAGAAUCCAGCCCUACUCACUGUUCAGACAGAAAUUACCAAGUUCUAACACUCCAGGACUGAACCAAAGCACAUGUGUUCUGAGGCUGAGCCUGCCAGGGCCUGAAUACACCAACAGGUUGUGCACUCCACCUCCACUGGGCCUGCACUGUCUGUGCCAGAAGCUAUCCUUGCAAGCUAGCCAGUGACACUUCUAGUUGGAGAAGAGCCAAGAGAAGCCAAAUCAAGGAAUGAAGCCUUCCACCCUUUGCGUGGGAACUGCUUUUAUGCUCAGGAUAUUGCUCCUGAGGCACACCGCAGCCACGCCAGUCUCUGGCCACAUUCCUCCCUGAUCCCGACUCACUGACGUGGCUUCCUGUAUUCACCUCAGAUCUGCCUUAUCACUGGGAGCUUUCCAGGUCAUUGCUGGGCUGUGGCUGACCGUUGUUACUAAGGCCGGACCAUUCUCUGCCACCACCUUGAAGCCAGCCUCUGCUCCCAACUCCCCUUCCCCAGCAGAGAAUCCUUUCUCUGGCUGCAUGCUCUGACUGUACCCUCAAGUCCAUGGAGAGUAGUCCGGAUAAGGAAUAUUGCAGAGCUGGUAUGAUUCCUAUUAUAAUCCUUCUAAAUGGAGAAACGAGGGCAAGAGCAACUUGAAUUUUAUUUUCCUUAUCAUUUCUUCAGAGCCCUGGAGAGGACAAAAU
ensembl:lncRNA